rnacentral:rRNA from 1 species
UACGUAGGGCGCAAGCGUUUAUCCGGAAUUAUUGGGCGUAAAGAGCGCGUAGGCGGCGUUUUUAAGUCGGGGGUGAAAGCCUGUGGCUCAACCACAGAAUGGCCUCGAUACUGGGACGCUUGAGUAUGGUAGAGGUUGGUGGAACUGCGAGUGUAGAGGUGAAAUUCGUAGAUAUUCGCAAGAACACCGGUGGCGAAGGCGGCCAACUGGACCAUUACUGGACGCUGAGGCGCGAAAGCGUGGGGAGCAAACAGGG